rnacentral:rRNA from 1 species
AGAGUUUGAUCCUGGCUCAGAUUGAACGCUAGCGGGAUGCUUUACACAUGCAAGUCGAACGGCAGCACAAAGGAACUUGUUCCUUGGGUGGCGAGUGGCGGACGGGUGAGUAAUGUAUCGGAACGUGCCCAGUAGUGGGGGAUAACUACGCGAAAGCGUGGCUAAUACCGCAUAUUCUCUACGGAGGAAAGGGGGGGAUCAUUUGACCUCUCGCUAUUGGAGCGGCCGAUAUUAGAUUAGCUAGUUGGUGGGGUAACGGCCUACCAAGGCGAUGAUCUAUAGCUGGUUUGAGAGGACGACCAGCCACACUGGGACUGAGACACGGCCCAGACUCCUACGGGAGGCAGCAGUGGGGAAUUUUCGACAAUGGGGGGAACCCUGAUCGAGCCAUCCCGCGUGUGGGACGAGGGCCUUCGGGUUGUAAACCACUUUUCUCAACGAAGAAAAGCCUUAGACUAAUACUCUGAGGUGCUGACGGCAGUUGAGGAAUAAGCACCGGCUAACUAUGUGCCAGCAGCCGCGGUAAUACAUAGGGUGCAAGCGUUAAUCGGAAUUACUGGGCGUAAAGGGUGCGCAGGCGGCUUGGAAAGAACGGUGUGAAAUCCCGGGGCUCAACCCCGGAACUGCACUAUUAACUAUCAAGCUAGAGUAUGUCAGAGGGGGGUGGAAUUCCGCGUGUAGCAGUGAAAUGCGUAGAUAUGCGGAGGAACACCAAUGGCGAAGGCAGCCCCCCGGGAUAAUACUGACGCUCAGGCACGAAAGCGUGGGUAGCAAACAGGAUUAGAUACCCUGGUAGUCCACGCCCUAAACGAUGUCAACUAGCUGUUGGGCCGGUUACGGCUUAGUAGCGCAGCUAACGCGUGAAGUUGACCGCCUGGGGACUACGGUCGCAAGACUAAAACUUAAAGGAAUUGACGG